GACGAACGCUGGCGGCGUGCCUAAUACAUGCAAGUAGAACGCAGUUGCGAACGGGUGAGUAACGCGUAGGUAACUGCCUCAUAGCGGGGGAUAACUAUUGGAAACGAUAGCUAAUACCGCAUACUGUGAGAUGGACCUGCGUUGUAUUAGCUAGUUUGUGAGGUAAAUGCUCAACAAGGCGACGAUACAUAGCCGACCUGAGAGGGUGGUCCGACAAAACGGGAAUGAGACACGGCCCAAACUUCUACUGGAGGCAGUAGGAGGGAAUGCUUGGGAAUGGGCGGAAGUCUUACCGAGCCAACGCGGGUGAGUGAAGAAGGUUUUCCGAUCGGUAAGCCCCGUUGUUAGAGAAGCGGUAACUAACCAGAAAGGGACGGCUAACUACGUGCCAGCAGCCGCGGUAAUUC
rnacentral:rRNA from 1 species